UAUCUCUUUGAAGAGGGAAAAAAAAAAGAGUUGAAGAAAUUGAAUUGAACGAAAAAUGGUUUCAGAAACUGAAUUGAGUAAAGGAAGAAAACCAUGCCAUGCAUCUGUCGACUGUUAUGCCUACAAAAGACAACAUCCUUGAGCAAGCUUACCUCGCUCGACUCGACGACCUAAAAAACCUACCACAAAACUUGGGCACUCCCAUGUCUAAUAACUGAAAAUUUGUCAGGAACCAGAAAACCCAUAUUUUAGCUAUGCCUUCAUCUCCAAAAUUCUUUCCUGCCAGACCUUCAUCGUCCAAAUCCAGGAGAUCAACGGUCCUGAUCCUGUGUCUUCUAGUAGGCGUGGCCGGAUUUUUCUUGGGUUUUCUUGUAGUUUCCAAGCAGGGGUUGGGAUAUAGCUGUAAAUACGCCAAGCCCAUUUCAGUUUCUGUUGUUUGGGAUAGAACAAAUAGCGGUAAUAGUUUCAGCAGCAGUAGUGAUGGUGAUAAUGGAGCUAACGGGAAUUCAGUGCGAGGGCAAAAGAGGUAUAAAGCCACGGGCUUUGUGGGAAUUCAAACCGGGUUUGGAUCCGCUGGUCGUCGCCGGGCUUUGCGCCAGACUUGGUUUCCCUCUGAUCCUCAAGGUCUUCAACGGUUGGAGGAAGCUACUGGCUUGGUAUUUAGAUUUGUUAUUGGUAGGACUAGUGAUAAAUCAAAGAUGUCAGAGCUUAGGAGGGAGGUAGCCAAAUAUGACGAUUUCAUGCUAUUGGAUAUUGAAGAGGAGUAUAGUAAGCUCCCAUACAAAACGCUAGCUUUCUUCAAAGCUGCUUAUGCUCUUUAUGAUGCUGACUUUUAUGUUAAGGCAGAUGAUGACAUAUAUCUGAGACCAGAUCGUCUCUCUCUUCUCUUGGUUAAGGAGCGUUCUCAUUCUCAAACAUAUCUUGGAUGCAUGAAGAAAGGCCCAGUUUUUACUGAUCCCAAGCUCAAAUGGUACGAGCCUCUAGGACAUCUGCUUGGAAAGGAAUACUUUCUCCAUGCUUAUGGUCCACUUUAUGCUCUAUCUGCAGAUGUUGUUGCCAGUUUGGUUGCUCUGAGAAACAACAGUUUUCGGAUGUUCAGCAAUGAGGAUGUUACAAUUGGUGCUUGGAUGCUCGCAAUGAAUGUCAACCAUGAGAACAAUAAGCUACUAUGUCAACCAGAGUGUACUUCCUCAUCCAUAGCCGUGUGGGAUAUUCCCAAGUGUUCUGGACUCUGUGAGCCCGAGAAGAAGUUAUUGGAACUCCAUGCAGAGGAAAUUUGUUCGAAGAGCCCUACUUUGUCAUCUGAUGAAGAUGAUUAGCACCUUUGCACUGUUCAGAUUCGUUAGACUGCUGAAAGUCUGAGCAAAGGAAUCCAUUUUUGCGAUCUUCUUACAAAAUUUUGACAGCAACGAGCAGUUUUUUACAUAAAUCAUAGCAUAUGAACAGCAUUCAUUAACCAAUUGGUCACCAUGUUGUUAAUGUAGAAAUUUCAUUCCUUGAUUGCUUCCCAUGUAAUACAUACACGCAUUCUCUGUACCAUAUGUGACCAUUUAGAAGAUCAUGAUUGUACUCAUUUCUUAGCAGGCACAACUUCAGCUGACUGUCUAUACAAGUGGAGUUAGAGAACCUCUCUGCAAUGAUGAAUGACUGCUUAUAAUGUGUCAAUGGAGAUGACUUUCGAAGACAAUUAUUGAAGAACGGCCAAGGAGGAUUUUUGACAUGUGGGCAGGGAAAUAAAGAGGGGGCUGUUUUUUUUUUUGUAAAAAUGAGGAAAGCGAGAAGCUGCUUGAUUUGUUGACGGGUUCGGAUUGGCUUGUAAAAUGGGGUUGAGGGAAUGUGGGGAGAAGGGUAAGGAAUGUAUCGGGUUUCGUAGGGUCAUUAAUUGUAUGGCUCUUCCAUAUUUGGUUCUUCUGUAAGAUGUUAGUUUUGCUUUGCGUCUUGUAUAAA